GGUGUGAGUGAUGAAAACUUUACCCGUAGGUAGGUUUUUGUUUGACCGUUUUGGUUUUACAUUUUUGACCUACCAAUGUUGGGACUAGUCAUAGUUACACUGACAUGCC